CUCCUCAAUGCAUAGUAUUAUUCAAAUGCAAAUUAUCUUCUAAUUUAAAAAGAAAAAAGGCUAUAGCAGAAUUAUAAUCUCCAUUGAAAGUAGCAAUAAAACAACAAAUAUUGGACAAACAAUGAAUCACUUACAGGACAUGAGGUAGGACAGUCCAACAACGCAUAUGAUAAAAAACACACUUCUCUUCUUAGCUUCCUCCACGAGGUCACGGACGCUAACCGAUUGUCUAACAGUGCUCAUUUUCUGACCUCCACUCUUCAACACCAGCCUAAAAAACUCAUCAAAAUUUAAUUGCAAUCAAAUCAAUAUCGCCCAAAAGUUUCCAACAGUUCUGAACCAAUUAGUUCCUCAAAACCACGAUUCAGUCAAUAAUUCGCGAAAUUUCCAAAAAGAAAGUGCAACUAAAUCGUCAAUGGCGGAAGCAAAAUUAGGCCGCGAAGUGAUUGAACAAAAAUUUUAAUUGGGCAAGUAUGUGCUGCCAAUUCAACGCCCGGACAGAGAUCAAUGGGAUUACUGUGUGUGUAUAUAAAAAUAAAAAUUAAAAAAAAUGUGAGAAAAAAGUGAAUUUGGGUAGGUGUAUUUCUCACUCUAAAAGAGAAAUUACACCGUUGAAUUGAAGAAUUGCUGAGAACUGGGAGAUUUGGUUUGAAAUAUACUUAUUACUGCCAAAACCCAAAAAUCAUCAAUUAUGUAGAUGUUGACACACGACGAGGUACGUUGAAAGGUACGCU
rnacentral:lncRNA from 1 species